ensembl:lncRNA
CCGCUCGGCCCCGCCGCCGCCGGACCCCCGGCCGGGGAUUGGGAGGGGGGGGGCGCGGUCCCAGCCAUGUGCCUUCAACCACUCUGGAGAAAUGUUGGGAGGAGCUCUCAGUGCGAUCCUUUCCAUACCUUCCAAGGAUUUUUAGGAUCGUGGGAUUUAUGGACCUGCAAAAUCCUCUGGAGAACAUCAGCCACCGACAAAACCAUCUGGAAAUUCCUGCUGUCUUUUUGCCCUGUCUUUCCUGAGUCACCGAGUCUUGGGAAGGAAGCAUCUCUGCUCUGAGGAUUACAGCAAAUCAGUUGCUUGCCGUCCUUACUGGAAUACCUUCCCUUUCAGUUGCUCAGAACAUAGCAAUUACUGAAGAAGGCAGAAGGAUAUUUUUUCCCUUUCACCGAGCUUUUGCAGCGCAGCAGUGGCUGUGUCCGGCUAUGUAGAUGGUUUCCACAUUCUCUACCCAAUUUCUUUUCCUGAUGUUUAGGAACUGAAUCAUUCUGUUUCCCUACUAGCCUCUGCUAAAGGUAAGGCCUUUCCAUCUCUUUAACAUCAUACUCUGAAGAUGACUUUUCCUCAUUAGCAGAGGGGUGGGGAUGCUCACAUCCAUGCCUCGUAAUUCCUCCUGCACUGCCCCUGGCCACUCAGCAAUUACUGCUGUACUUACAGCACCAAGCAGGCACCGGCUGUGUGUGAACCUGCUUAUCAGGCUUCUCCGUGUAAUUUCAGAGGAGAUAAUAUGAGUAUUCAAUCCAUUUUUUCUCAUCUUAAUUUAACAGUGCUUCUAUUGAAGAAUGGCAUCAUUUAGAGGAUGACAUAAAAAAAAAGAUGGCUUUAAAUUUUAACUUGAAAAUUAUUCAUAUUCAAUGUAGACAUAGAUAACUCAGUAAUUGCAGUGAUAAUUACUGGAUUUACAUUUUUAUAGAGAUUUACAAUGACUUAGAUGUUUUUAUAAAGGUGACUGAGCCUUUUUCUUUUCUUUAACACCAGAACUGGAUUGUUCUGUUGGUCUCUGAGGUGUCAGUUUGCUGUGAAAGUCCCAGUUUUAACAAUUGUUCUGGAAGUGUUGGGGGAUGGAUCUACUCACGUGUGCUGAUGAACAGAAUGCUUUUCUUAAAAGAAAAAAUAGGGAAUGGAGAAAAAAGUUAGCUCUUUUAAUCUAGAUUCCAUAUUUAUUUUGACUAUACAAAAAAAGAACUGCUAAGGGGAAAUUGCUGAAAAUGCUAUUCUGCAUUCCCAUCAGUAUGUGUGAGGCAUUAAAAGUUUCAUCUUAUUGCUUUGUAAGCACAUUUUUACAUCAGUAUAAAGGAAGGAAAUGGAGCCAGGGGAACAAAAUCAGUUGACCAUCUCUUGAAUUUGAUGUGAUACUUAGGCCAGAUUGAGAAGAUAGAGGCUGAGAAUUAAAAAGUGCUUUGCUUUAACUAUCAGGAAAGUUGAAUGGUUGCUGUGCUUCUAACAGAGACUGGAGCUUAACUGUGGGGAGUGAAAGCAUUGUACCAGGUCUCUGGAGUAGGUCGUGUGUAUUGCUUAGACUUGAUGGUCAAUGGAGGGCUCUGCCUAGAGCCAGCAGCCUGUGGGGUUUGGGGCAGAGACAUUCCUAUGGGCUGGGGUAUCCAGUGUUUAACUUGACUUGGCAUGUUGCAAUCUAGCUCAAAUGCCGUAGAAAAUAUGCUGGAAGGUAAUUGCAUUUCUUUUGUGUGGUGAAGUGCAUCUUCUUAACUUCUGAACACUGCUUUCUCUGGUGGCUGAGACAGAGAAGAAAGGGAAUCAGGACAUUUCCUGUAGCUGGCUCCUCCAGUAACCUCAUAUGCGCCUCUGGUCGAGUCACUUAAUAAUUUUUUUUGUUUGUUUCAUUCCACCCCUGUAGGGUGAUAACAUUGUGUACAGCAGUAUGUAGGUAGCUUUCAAGGCAAGGCCAUGCACAGGUUGAUCAGGGAAAUAGUUUAGCCCAUUUCUAUCCCUUGUGAAUACAUAACACAAUUUUCCAAGCAUGGAAAUUCCCAGUGUUUUAUUAACUGCCUCCUAACAACUUCUAAAGCACCGAAGAAAGAUCACUGGAAAUAUGAGCUUUCUAACUACUAUUUAAGCAAACAUGGUUGGUAUCUAAAAAGCUCCUUUGUCAGCAGUGUGCUGCAACACCGUGAGCUUUAUCUUUUGUACAUAAGCAGGAGCUUGGAGCCAAAAAGUCCUAAUUAGAGCCAUGAACACCUGUAGAAGACCUAGAGUGCUUGUACAAGAUGUAUUUAUUGGUCUGCUCCCAGCCCUAUUGCUCAGCCUUUCAGGAACAGCAUCUCUGUAAUUUGACAUGAGGGAGUUCCCUGGGAUUCCUUUUUGUUUAAAGAGCAAAGUAAGCAUGAUCACUGCUUGUAUACUGGUUCCUUUGUCUUUAUUCAGCAUAAGAUAGGGUGUAGGCUUCAAUUCUGGAGUACUUGUGGUGCUCAAGCCUACCCCCAUAAAACAGGCUCUUGGUUGCUCUGCUCUUGUGAUGCAGUUGCUUUGGUGCUUCUGAAAAUGUUUGGAGAUGGCACAGAACCUGUCCAUCACUGGGUAAUUUAGAGUAGCAGAAGUGCUGGACACUGCAUGGUUCUUCAUUGCCACCAGGAUUGCAGACAAGCUGCAGGAGAUGUACCCAAACUUUCUGUUCUGCUUUGCCCAUUGCAAACUCAGUCCUGCCCAUCCUAUCUCAGCUACGGAGACCCUUCACACCUGGGAGCCUGGCACCAUGCAGGUGACAUGGACUGGCAAAACUGGGAUACAUCUCACUUGGCCUUGUUGCUUACUCUGUGUUGCAUUGCUCUGGAUCCAUGCUACCUGUAGAUCUAUGGACAGAUGCAUGGUAUUAGGUUAGAUAUUAGGAAAAUGCAUUUUAUUUCAGGUUGGAUAUUAGGAAAAAUUUAUUUUCAGAAGGAAUGGUGAGGCACUGGAACAGGCUGCCCUGGGAAGAGUUGGAAUCACUGUCUCUGAAGGUUUUCAGGAAAUGUGGAGGUGUGAUAUAUAGGGACAUGGUUUCUUAGGAUGGUGGGGUUGGGUGUACUGUUGGACAUGAUGAUCUUAAUGGUCUUUUCCAACCUUUCUGAUUCUGUGAUCGUUAAUUAAAAAAAGGCUUCAGCUGAUUGUGAAAGUGGUGUCUUUGGGCGUACCAGUGUUUGUAUGAUUCAAACGCACAUAGCUGAUUUGGAGAUUGUAACAGCAUUGUAAAAGUCACAGCAGUGCUAAGUCGGUAUUACUGGUGGUUACAUGAGAGUGAAAAAGCAGCCCUGGCACAUUGCAGGGAUGCUCCAGCCAUGACUAACCCCUCGCACUCACUGGAGAGGAAUUUUUUGGUGCCCAGCACAGACAAACACUGACACUACAGGUUUGCAGCAGUUCUCAAGUCUAUCUCCAGCUGGCAGAAAGUAAAGGAAUUGCAAGUAUUUAUUGGUUAAAGGGAAAAAAAUCUCAAAGCUAUAAAAUAAAUUUGACAAUGUAGUUUUUCUUCUGAAAUCUUAACUUUUUUCAUGGUUCUCUGACUUGAAUAUGUGGAAGCCCAACAAAGGAAGAUGAUUUAAUCUACAGAUAAUGUCUCUUGCUUGAUGGUUUCCUGCUUCUAAAAUUUACUCCCAGUUCUCUGGAACUGGGGCUUAAAGUAGCUUUGGUUUUCAAAUGGGAUUUUUGAAGGUAGGUGUAUUAAAUGCAAGUGCUUUUAGAAGUUUGUUAUCUCAGGUGCCAAAAGCCUAUCUGGCACUUUAAAAAUAUUUACAACUUAAUAUUUGAAUUCACUUCUUCCUCGAGGAUGCUGCUUGGAGAAUGUACUGGUGAUACCGAUGCUGAAAUUUUGCUUUGAUCUUAACCUUCCUUGUCCUUGUUGGGAGGAUUUCAUAGGAUCAUAGAGAAUGGUUUGAGUUGGAAGGGACCUGAAAGGUAGAUGUACUAGUGCUGCUCACAGACCCUGCUGCUACUGACCCUGGCGCUGCAGUUUGGAGAGCACUGACUUGAAGGGCAGCAGUGAGAGCCAGCCCAAGCAAAGCUGAUUAAUCGCACACCUCAGUCAUUGGGUUAUGCAAAAUCGUAGUUUUGAUGGUCUUUCCCUCUUUUUUUUUUUUUUUUUUUUUUAAGAUCUGGAAUGAUCCUACUCAUAUGUGAUGAAUGGUCCUUUGUUUAUUGUUUCAAGAUGUUGCUCAGUGCUUUCCAUUGACUAAACCGUCACAGUAGUUACUUUCAGGAUAUAGUUCUUCCUUAAAAGCAAUCUUUGCUUUUGCAAUGAAUAACUGUUUGCAGUUCCUGACUUGACAUGCCUGUAAGUGCUGGCUGCCUGCUUGCAGACUCACUAUUCUGCUUUAGAUUGUCCUCAGGAAGAAACAGUGAAAUACCAGCAGAUGCAUUAUGGAUAGAACCAGCAAAGCAAGGAUGACAUCUUGGUUACUGAAUCCCUUGUACUACAUUGCCGGGUUUUGCAGAGCCAUAGGUGUUGACAGGCUGUUUUCUUGGGCUCCCAUCUGCUGAGCAGUUGAUGGGGAUUAGUAUUUAGGAGCUUGUUUUGAAAUCUGCCUCAUGCCACUAAAAUGUAAAACUUCCAAAGCUGGCUGGCAUCCUGAGGCAUUGAGGGGCCCUUGAGGGGCUUUUCAGUAGAGGUGUCUUGCAAUCACAGAGUCAUAGAAAGGUUUGGAUUGGAAGGAAUCUUAAAGCCCGUUCAGUUCCAACUGCCUCUGCCGUGGGCUGGCAACCCCUCACCAGAUCAGGCUGCCCAGGGCCCCAUCCAACCUGGCCUUGAAAUCCUCCAAGGAUGGGGCAUCCACAGUUGCUCUGGGCAGCCUGUGCCAGUGCCUCACUGCCCUCUGAGAAUUUACUCCUGACACGUAACCUAAAUCUCCCCUCUUAGUUUAAAGCUGUUGCCCCCUUGUCCUCUCACUACCAGAGAGGACUACCAUACGUAAGAAUUCCCCUUCUACUCUCCUACUUACAACUUCCCUUCAAGACACCUGAAGGCUGCACUGAGGUCUCCCAGGAGCCUUCUCUUCUCCAGGCUGAAGAAGCCCAGAUCCCUCAGCCUUUCUUCAUUCCAUAGGAGGGAUGGUUCCAGCCCUCUCAUCAUCUUUGUGCCCUUCCCUUGGACCCAUUCCAAUAGCUCCAUGUCUUUCUUGUUCUGGGGCCCCCAGACCUGAUGUGACCGCGGUACUCCAGGUGGGACCUCACAAGGACACAACCUAGAGGGGAGAAAAUUUUCACCUGCCGACGAGGAUGGGAUUCGAACCCACGCGUGCAGAGCACAAUGGAUUAGCAGUCCAUCGCCUUAACCACUCGGCCACCUCGUCCACCUUGUCUGUCUCCUUGUCUUUAUUGUGAAAAUGGAAAUGUUUUGGCACAACGUCCUGGGUAGGAGUCACAGCUCUGGUGUUGCUUUCAGGCUGUGCCCAGCUCCGAGGAAGAAUCCUCCUGACUCUGCAUGUGAGUAUCUAGGAGGAUGUGAGCUGAGGAUCCCUGGAGGUAGGGAGAAGUUGACUGGUUGGAGUUGGGGAUGUGCCACUACCCGUCCUGUUGGCACCAUCGCUUGUUCUCCUUGCAGGAAGAAACUCCUCUUGCUGCUAUCCCUGCACAGUUUUAUCUCGUGCUGAGCAGUUCACAUCAGCAUCAGGUGGUUUUUGUUUGACCCAUGCCCUGCUUCAAAAUGAAAUAACAAGGUACUGGGAAAAAAAGUAAUCUCUCAGAUAAGCGUUUUUUCCUACUCUUCUGUAAUUUGUGUGGGAGCUGGCUUACUCUGCUGCUGGAUGACUAAGGAGGAAAUUCUUUUUUGGUUAGGGCAAUGCCUCGAGUCCACUGGAAUUUGUUUUAUCACAGGUUUAUCACUUCCACCCUUGGAAUUCAUAACCGUUACAGCGUGGGGCAGAAAAAAUAAUGGUGACUGCAAGUUAUGCUGCUUGUCUUCCAUGAAAAGGAUGCCAAUAGCUGAAAGGCUUUCUCAGGUUUGCUCUGUUUUGCAUAGGGAUUUUGCUCCAUAUCCGGGUAUCUUUGUAACAAAUUAACUGGGAAUGAGUCUUGAAUAUUCUAGCAGCUGCCAUCUUUGAAGUGUGUAUUUUUUCCUUGUGUUUAAGUUAAUUAAUGCUCAUAUCUUGAGUAUAGGUGCGUGCAGCUCUGCUCAUUGUACAGAUAGGGAGGAGGUUCUGAUUUAUCGUGGCUCAACUGUAGGAUGGCAGGGUCAACGUCAAGUUUAUGUCUGAAGAGUUUCUGGUUCAUCUUGUUAAUCUCCAUUACCUCCCCUUUUUAUAGGGGGGAUCUGGAUGUGUAUAUCUGGUGGACACAGCUGGGAUUUGGAUGUGCCAUACCCUUCAGAAGCUGGGCUUGUUGGCUGAAUGUGUUUAUUCCAACAGCAUUCACUUUGCUUCUGUGUUACUGUGAUUUUCAGCGCUGAUCCCUCUGAACAGCCUGACAGGGCUUCUGAAGAGGUUUGACACUGUAAAGCAUUGUUUACUUGUGAAAGUAUUAUUAUAUUUUGCAUAUCUAUUAUUCAUCUCUUGUGCUAAAACUGACGCUACAUCAUAAAAUUGCUCUUAGAUUUCAAAGCUUUCAGCAAAAGCUGUUUUUGUCCCUGGGUGCCUAUGACAGCACUGGGAAGUGCCGUAGCCUUUGUAUCUCUGUAGUCCCCUUUUAUGAAUUGUGAGUGAUGGCAGGGAAGUAUAAAAGAGAGCAGCAGAGCCGGUUUGAUGUUCAUAAAAGUCUUUGAUAAAAGAUGCAGCGCAUAGACCUGAUAUUAUAUCCUAUUUUUAACUUCUUGAGCACAAAGUGCUCAGAUCCAAUAUUUAUGUAAGAUGGAAAGAUGUUUUCUACCUUUUUUUUUUCUUUCUUUCUUUUUUUCCUUUUUUUUUUUUUUUUUUUUUCCUUUUUAAGACCAGGUGAAGCAAAACAAAAAGUCUCCCUUCUGCAUCCUGGUAAAACUUUGUGUCCUCCAUGGAGGCGGAGGAGCUUGGCUGUGGGUCCAUGCUUGCUGCCUGCAGGCUGGCACCUAGGACAGCGGUUGGCACAUGGGGACAGCCACCAGCGCCCAAAGCUAGCACAGCACCACGGGGCAAAGCCCAGCCUCUGGGUGCAGGAACGUGCAACUUUCCUAUGAGCCCAACCGUGUUUCCCACCAUUAAUUGGUCCCCCAAGAAGCAGAAAAAUAAACCAUUUGAAAGCAAGGGCAGCUCCUCUCAUUUCUGUACAAGUCAGAUUACGGUAAAGGCAUCUCUAUAAUAAGCAGCUUUGCUUGCUCGGUAGGAGAUGAGAGGCUGUGUGCAGACAGGGUAAUUUGGGUUUUACUGAUGAAAGCACUUGUCAUUAUUUCCAGCCUCCUACAUGUUUCGGUGUUCUCUUUAAUCUCUUCUAUCAGCCUUCUUGCUUGCGGUGUGCCUGUGUACUCAUGCAUAUUCAUGUGCAGGGCUGUGAUUCAGGAAUGCACAUACGGGCACAUGCCUAAAGCUUAAUAAGGUGCUUUCCUGUCUGCAUGUGCAUAUGCAUGCAGGGAUGGAAACUGUGCAAGGAGAAGGGCGUGCAGCAUGUGCAUGUCACAGUGGCAUGGCUAUUUAUUUGUGUGAUUGAGUUGUUGGUUCAUACACAGACCUGCACUCUGGAUAUCAAGAAUCCCAAUGGUCUCAGCAUGCAAACCUGAUUUUGGUAGUACCUUGAUGCUUGUCUUGCUUGACGCCACAUCUUUUAUUCUGUUAGGGAGAAGUGUUAACACCUUGUGCAGUGGCGAACAAGCUCUGUUAUUCCCUGGAGAAGUCCAGAACAGAGUCCAACCUUGCUGCAGCUCUGAGAAAGGUUUAAGGUUGAUCAGAUGAGCAUUAGCAAACAGCUGUUGGUGGUUUUGAGUCCUUCAGCAAUCCGUGCUCAUCGGUGGGUCUGCUCAAAGCUGGAGCUACAUUGGAAAUAAUUUGAUUUGGGCAAAGUUGUCUCAGUCUCUCACCUGUCUGAGGUGCAUAAGCCACUUUCUGCUCACGUAUAUACGUCACGUAAGUGCAUUUAUAUGCCAAAUGUUCACCUGUACCCACAGAUAUUUUUUUAUGGGAUGAAUAAGUUGUAAUCACCAUAUCUAUAAAGCAGUCUAAUUUUUUGGCUGAUCACCUGUAAUGAUGUGCAGCAUUAUGUGUAGGAGGUGCUGUAAUGCUUUGCAGUGUGAUUUGAUGGAUACAGAGAACUUCUAGCAGAAGCAUAUCUGCAAAUCCAAAUGCUUUUCAGCUGGUGGAAGAUUGUCAGACCAAAAGUUUCAGUAUCCCUGGUUAUUCUGUAGGGUACUGUGGGACUGUGGUACCCAGCUCUGGUGAGGCUGCUCCACAAGUACUGUGUUCAGUUUUGGGCCCCUCGCUACAAGAAACACAUCGAGGCCCUGGAGCUUGCCCAGAGAUGGGCAGUGAAGCUGUAAAGGAUCUGGAGCACAAUUAUUACACGGAACAACCGAGGGAUUGCGUAGCCUGAAGAAAAGGCUCAGGGGAGACCUUAUUGCUCUCUACAGCUCCCUUAUAGGAGCUUGUAGCAAGGUGGGGGUCAGCCUCUUCUCCCAGGUAACAGUGACAGGACUAGAGGGAAUGGCCUCAAGUUGCAUCAGGGAAUGUUCAGGUUGAAUAUUAGGAAGAAUUUCUUCUCAGAAGGAGUGGUUGGACAUUGGCACAGGCUGCCCAGGGAGGUGGUGGAGUCACCAUUCCUGGAGGUGUUUAAGAAGUGUGUAGAUGUGGCACUGAGGGACAUGGGUUAGUGGGCAUGGUGGGGACUGGUUGAUGUUUGGACAUGAUGAUUUUAGUGGUCUUUUCCAGCCUUAAUGAUCGUAUGAUUCUAUGACUUUGUAACACUGAAGUGGAUACUGUGGUAAAUCAGAAAAGCUGGUCUUUAAUGCAGGAAAGAGAAGGGACAAUUCAGAGUAGUACUUGUUGGCAUGGACUUAAAUCUAGGCUGUCCUCACUUGCAGUGGGUUGGCUGCACCAGCUCAGAUGUUCUGAGGUGUUUGCACCUCCCUUACUGCAUGCUGCAAAACAGUUCAGAUGCUUACACUGAAUUUUCAGGAGCAAUUGAACUGUUCGACUGCACGUCAUAGAGAGCCAGGCUCUUAAGUGCACAAGAGCUCUCCCAAAUGGGCUGUAGCGUCCAGCAGAGCUCUGCCAAAGUGUUGGAUGAAAAAUGGCCCUUGACUUGCAGUAGCUGUGUUUCCUUUGAAACAGAGCAAGUGCAUUGCUUUGCUUCACAGGACUGGCGGUAAGGGGAAAAUCAAAGUGAAGCAGUGACAAGGUGCGGAGAUGCCAGGGGCACGAGCUCACGGAGUGCUGACUCCCAGCAGGAGGACCCUAAAAGCAGAUUCGAUGCUGGAGGGAUGCAUCCUUGUUCUGCAUGUACCUGUCCCUUCCUUCCAGCCAGAUUCUGUGAGCUUUCUUAUUCAGCAAGCGCUUGUGUGUAGCUGUGCUGAAGUGGGGUCCCAGCAGGAGGAGCGCUGCCGGCUGUGGGAGGCAACCCACAACAACAACAAGAGAAAGUGUCCAGAUGAAAGGUCUGGUAAGCCUCAGUGUCUCCUCUGCCUUGUUUUCAAGCUCUUCUGUAAUCAGCUGUCAUACUGGGGUCUGGGCAUCGUGGAGCUCAGCAAGUAGGGGCUGAAACUUAAACAAACAGUGACUCUUCUAUAAAUAUUUAGCUCGCACUGUUUAGGAACUGCUGGAGCAGGAGACAAAAUACAUUUCAAGUUCAUAACUGUCUGAAAAAACUACUGGAGGAUGGCGCUUGAUCAGUGGACCUGUUGACAUGUAGGUUUUCCCCUGUUUUUCCAGAAGAAAAGGACGUAUUUAAGUGUCCUUUGCAGAGAAGUGGGAUUGCGCUCUGCCAGUGUUUGCAUGUAUUGUUUCUCCAAAAAUACACCAGCAAGGGUAAGGCUGAGUUCCAUGACCCCUGCUGCAAUUAAGCUUGCCCUGCAAGUGCCUGAGAGGUGGGCUUGCCUCAGGACAGUUGCCACUUCUCUGGCGGAGAACUAAUUUUGUCUUUGUUUUCACUGCAGCGGGCAGAAGCAACCUCAGGGACUGUGUCUUCUCCUUUGAGAUCAGAGCCACUGCGGUUUUAGUGGCUGUCACAAGGGUUGCAGAGGUUGGGUUGCUCUGUGCUGCUUGGGUUUGGGUACUGAUCCAGAGGACUCCAGAUCUUGGGGCUUUAGGCUUUGUGCCCCUUGUUGUUGCAGUACGAUGGUCCAGGCCAAAGUAUCACUGAGGUUAAUGGGUUUCAGAGCAUGACUGUGCUGCACUGGAGUUUUGAAUUAGUGUGAAGAUCUCCUGCAGCUUGGUGUCCAAGAGGAGCUGGGACUCCUUGCUGGCAGUCAGAGAGAUGGAGGAAAAGGAUAAUGACCCUUUCUCUGCAAACAUCUGGAAGUCAAGGAUGCAGCUGUGGGGCAUGAAGACCUCUCUGAGCACAUACGUUGGCUGGCUGCCCAGAUACCAGGAUGGCUGCUGGCUGUGUGGCCAUGUGGCCAGGCUGUGUGAGCAGCCCUAAAUCUUGGGCUGCCACAUUGUUCUUGCUCUUGCAAAAGCCUCGAUAGCGAGGUGGGCCUGUCCCUGUCAGCCUUUCUUUGCCUCUUAAAUAUGAAGAUAAUAUCCUUUGUUUACCUUGCAGAACUCUUGCAAGAAUGGGAAAGAAUGAAACGUGCUGAUAAGAAACCGUAUCAGUAGCCAAGACAGGCAGAUGCACAUGUGCUUUGAAUAAGGAGAACGCUUCACCGGCACAGACAAAAGUCUGGGAUUGUUGAUUAAAAAGAAAAGAAGAUCAAUUAUUGAUUGUUUUAUUUCUUCCCUUGCUAUUCUAAAACAAAGCAGUUUUUUUUUUUUUAAAAAAAAAAACCCUUUCUUUAUUAACUUCUUUUUUCCCAGUGCCUGCCAUGCUGCUUAUGCUGCUUUGUACCAGAGUUGUCUUUGCCAACAUGCUCCCCCACAAAUCACCCCUGCCUCCCUACUGCACAUUGCCCAAAAAGACUUUACUCAGUGAUGAAAUUUUAUGAAUGUUGCUGUGAAGAAAAAAAAAAAAAAAGAAAUUCAAGAGUGCAGAAGGACAUAGGAGUUGACUUGUGGGGCAGCUCCACCAGCUGCUGCCUGGUCCUUUGGAGGAGAGCAGCACUGGCACAGGUUGUCCAAAGAGGCUGUGGGGUCUUUUCCGUGCAGAUCUCUGAAAGCCACCUGGAUAUGGUCCUGGACCAGGUUGCUCAGAGCCUCGUCCAGCCUGACCUUGAAUGUCUCUAAGGAUGGGGCAUCCACCACCUCUCUGGUCCCUGCCAACUUGUGGAGGUGAGGGAUUCAUAGAUACAUUCAGGCAGUUGAACAAUAUAGUGGAAAACCAGCGAGCCAGCUCCUUAACUGAACCUCUUUGCCAUCAGCCUGAAGUAGGUGACAGACCUUAUCUUAAUUUGCAAAGUUAAAAAGGAAAAAAAAAAAUCUGAUAACUAGUCAGAGAAGGAGAGCAAGUGUAGCAAAAUAUUUUGCAUCCCUUGCAAGAAGUUUGGUAUUUGCUUGAACUGCCUCUGCCCCUACCUCUGCUCCUCUUUCUGAAGCUGUGAAGACAGCUCAGCAGGAGUGCAAGUGGUGCCCGAGUGCUUUGUAUGCAGGGACAAGAGCUAAUGGCUUUAAGUUGUGCUGGGGGGAGUUCAGGUUGGGUAUUAGGAAGAACUUCUCAGAAGGAGUGGUGAGGCAUUAACACAGGCUGCCCAGGGUGGUGGUGGAGUCACCAUCCGUGGAGGUGUUCAAGAACCAUGGAGAUGUGGCACUGAGGGGCAUGGGUGAGUGGGCAUGGUGGGGACUGGUUGAUGGUUGGACUAGAUGGUCUUUUCCAGCCUUAAUGAUACCAUGAUUCUGUGAUUCAGGGUGAGCAGAGAGGGGCCACAGAGCCAACGUGGGGCAAGGGCGAGUAAGGAAAAGGUGAAUUCUUUGGUUGCCAGCUCAUUGAAACCGCUUUUGGUGCUUGAGAGAAAAUGUCAGUGUUUGAGUUGGAUGUGACAGCGGACUUGAUGGUUUUUCUCUUUCAAUAGUUUCUUUGAAUGCUUUUCCUAAUUUAAAAGGCGGGUUUUAAAUUAUUAAUGUUUUGCCUCCUGUGCAAAGGGAUUCCAAAGCUCUCUGCAAAUCUCUGCUACAACAUCUAACGUAAAAAAUAGCCUCAUGGUUUUUCCCGACUUCAUCUUUGACAGAAGCCACUCCUUGAAUUCACGCAAAGCACUAAAUCUGCAGAAGUGGAGAAAGGGGACGUUGAUUUAUGUAGAAGGUAAUUUUCUUAAAUGGUGUUGAGCCAGAAAAUAUAAAGAUGAUAAUGAUUUUUCUUUUGGCAAAGGCUUUCCAGAUUUCCAUGUUUCUGACUUGCUGAAGCAAUGCCUCCUGCCAGGCCUGAGUGUUGGUACUCGCACUGGGAUGCUGAGUGCUGCCCAAGAGGGGAAGGUGCCCAAAUUCCGCAGCAUCCCAGCACAGGAGGUAGGGACCAGAGCCAAGGCUCUGGACAUCGGCCUGUGCAAAGGCUGCAGUGAGAGCUAUAGCCUCCUGUUGGAUUUAUGACACGUUCGCCUGCCGAACCUCACUGUUCACUUUGAGUAUUUGUCCUGAUUUUGUACCAAAUCUCCUUGCUACUUGAACUGAUCCGUAGGCAAGCAGAAAGAAUAAAUUAUUAUAACUUUGGCUCAGGGCAGCUGUCCAAGGGAUAUAUUGGGACACACUUGGCCUUUGAAAAGAGGGACUUCAGUCUCCAGCCCUGUCAGUCCCUCUGGCUCCUGGAAGUUUUCCUUCCAAAUGGUUACUUCUAACCUCAGAGAAGAAGUUUGUGUUUUUCAGGGCUAUGAUUAAUUCCGUUUUUACGCAUCGUUGCAAAAUGCCACACAAUAAAUGAGACCAGCAGGGUGGUGUUUUAUAGUGGGGGAGUGGAAAACAUCAAACAAAUGCUUUCAGAUGCUGUUUUGGAGCAGUGGUGUGCGUGUGUGUGUUGUAUAAUGUCUUGCAAACUGUGGGGUUUUGUUCCUAUUAAAAGGAAGGGGGAAAAAAAAAGGCUUAAACCUUAUGUAUGGAAAGAAUGUUAGAAAUAGUUGAGAAAUUGAAUAAUUACAGUGUUUUUGCACUGGGUCAGUGAAAGCUAAGUUAAGGUGCAGAGUUGCAAAGUAAUACAUCACUGAAAACAGGCAGAGUGCACUCUUUCAUCUUGGGUCUAUGUUCCUGAGAGUCAGAUGGUACCUCUGAGUCAUGGGUGGAGAUUGCCUCUCACUCUCUCAUUGCUCCUCAGCAUCUUCCUCCAGAUCUGAAAGUCCUCAGGGCACCCUGUGCUAUGUGGUUCAGAGCUGUGGGCAGCACUCAGCCCUUCCCUGUCCCAGGAAUGCUGGUCUGUCGCCUUCACUAAGCACUGCUGGAUUUGUCUGCAUGCUCUCCAUCACUUUCUGUGGAGGAGCAUCCUUCUUAUUGAAUGGGAAGGGAUAUGAUCAUGGUUGUGCUUCACUGACUUUAGUUUUCCUUCCCUGGCAUGGCCUCUUGGCACCACAUGCUCAAGGGCCUGAGUCGUGUCACCACAGGAAUCUGAGACUCAUUGUCAACCUCAAAUGAGGCUCACUAUACCUCUGAAGUGUUCAGUGACAAAUGGAGCUGCAGCAUGAGGUGCUGGCCCUAUUGCAGCAGCCCUCAGCCUCCCAGGAAAGCUCUCGGUCUCAGUAGCAGACCCUAGAGAAAAGAGGCUGAAGGGUCGUUGCAUGCCCACAUUCUGUAUCCUGGGGACUCACAGAAUGCUCAUACAUGACACUGAGAUUUGUUUCCCGGUAGGACGUUGGCUCACCUGCUAGGACAGAGCUCACCUAAGGCUGUGUGUGCAUCCUUGGCAUAUGGAAAGCAUGAGCAAACAAGCUGGAGUCUGUGCACGUGGCCUUGUUCCUUCUAUUGGUCUGCAGUGUUUCCUCCUGUCCUUCUUCCCUGGAAAGCAGCAGCUUUGUUUAUUGUCCCAGGUGUCUUUUUCUUCCUCCAAGCUACUUACUUUUCAUGCUGUUUUGGUUCCUGAUAAGCAGUGGGAAUGACAGGAAUGAGGUGAUGGUUACCCGUGAGCAUUCCGCUCCCACUGCCCGCAGACUCAUCCCCUCAGCAUGUGCAGCCCUCAUGCCAGUGACAUGGGUGUUUUCUCAUUAAAAAUAGACCACAGACAAUGCCACUUCCCGAGGACUGUGAUUUAUCAUUUAACAACAAGUGGUUACUCAUUUCCUUUGGAAAACUUUCUGGAAGUGUUAUUUUGCUUUCUCCCCUUGCUUCCCUUUUUUAUUUUAUUUUCUUAAAUUUCUUUCUAAGCCCUGCAUUAUUCUUCCCAACAGCUGCUCUUUUUAAACAAAAUGUUCCUUUUUCCAGUGGAAUUAAUGUUUGUGAGUUAAAGAUCAUGGGAAAAAAAUCUUAACCCUUCGGAUAUUUGCUUUUUGUUGUGAGUCCCUGCAGCACUGGAGCUCAGCCAUGAGCAAUCAGUGAAGAGAUUGGCAAGACUUACCUUGGAAAAUAGGACUUGAAGAAAAAUCAGAAGGUGACUGUGAUCCUUGAUGAUGAAUGGAUAAUAAGUUUUAAGAAAGCUUGGAUUGACUGCAGAACUCAUCCAUCUUUAUUUACGCUGUAUGAGUUACCAGCUCUGAGCUGUGCUACCGCCUGGUGCAGUGGUUUGUCGUAAGGGAUGGAGGGGUUGCAGACCUUGGAAGGAAAACCUGUAUCAGUUCUGAGAUUUUAGUGACUGUACCAAAACAAAGUGCUGGAAGAUGUUGGGUAGUUCCUGAGGAUAUCCUGCCAGUUUGACAACCAAACUUGGGAAAUACGAUGAAGAUGAAAUAGUCAUAACUGAGUAUUUAAGAAACAAUACCUCAAAAACAGUUUGCUGUAGGAUCAAAAGGGUGUUUUGAGUGUUCUGCUUAGGGUCUACUUUCUGUAGUGAAUUGAGUGGUAGAUUGCAAAGGAUGCAAGUGCGACCAGAAGUGUUGCUGAUAAUUCACUCGUCUCCUCACUUAUAGCUGUCUUAAUGAGCUACGGUUGUAGUCUGAAGACAAGAAAAAUGAAUUCAGUAAAGACAAGUGCAAAUUAGUGAAGCUGGCAGUUGAAUGCAUGAACCCAAAAAGAACAAUAACACAUUAACUGCAGAAAGGACCUGGGGGAUGCAAUGAAUUAUAAGCUGAUUGUGUAUUAAGAAUUGGUUGCUGUUACAAGAAAGGCAGACCUCAAAUAGCCUACAGAAAAACAGCAAAGGUAACAGUUCAGUCUCUGUUGUCUCGUGGAACCUUGCUUGAAAUAUAGCAUCCAUCCUCUGUUUUUAAUAUUUUCAUAUUCCAAGCAGGCAGCUUGGGAAGACAAAGCUUCUGUUUGGGAAGCUUCACUUAUAAGGAAUAGCUGGAAGAUUUGCAUAUGCUAAACUUAGGUGGAAAAAAAACAACCACCCACAGGUGCAGGGUAUGAUUUGAUGGGCUGCUGUCUUCAGCACUUAUUUGACAACAUAGCAAUAUGUUUUGGCCAGGGCAAUAGAUAAGAUGCUGGAAGAAGGGCAGGAAGAAGAGAGACAGCUGAACAUUUGCUUUGGAUCAAGCUUUGAAGGGAAUGGUGGAUUUGAAACACCCAGGAAGGUGUCAGUCAGCAUCUCCCCUUGUCUGAGCACAGGACCAGCACAAAGCUGCCCAGGAGGACGUGGUUUCUGGCUGCUGCCUUGCAGCUGUGCCCAGUGGCAGUGGGGCAGGCUGCUAUUUCUCAGAGUGUAGGUUUCAGUUCAUCGUGGUGGCGGUGAGAGAAAAUGAAUGCUUCUGGAGCUGGCCCAAUAAGCGUUAGAAAAUGCUUUGUUAGCAGCGCAGCAGCCCUUCCCGGAUGGCAGGGAGAAGGCUGCUGGUGGCUGGGAACUGCGGCUGAGACCGGCUUCCUUCUUGGCAGAAGCCGAGCUGGUGUUGCCUUGGAGAGUGGCGUGGAGACAAAUAAGCUGAGUGGCCUGGGGCUGGAUGGCUGCUGGACCUUUCUGCAGCCCUUGCGUCUGAGUUUUGACUUGCUUCUGACUGCUGCCCUUUGGUGCUGCUGAGCCCCAGCAUCCAGACCAGAUUUCCGACAUGACUGCAUUGCACUGGGCUUUUGGUUAUUGAUUCAGUUGACCACAAACUGGUCAGCCUGUGCUGUGAUGUAAGCUGCUGAUUUCCUCCUCCAUGAAUGCUGAACUAAAUACCCCUGCAGCAGCCAUCUGACGGUGUUCACAGCCACUGGGAUUGCUCUUGGGCCCCGCAAGCCAGGAUGAUUCAAGCUGAUACUCAUGCUUACAAUUAAAUGCUAAAUGCUGAGUCUAUUCUGCCCUACCAGCUGUACCCCCGAGGGAAAAAGGGGGGUUUUACUGCAAGAAGAAAGAGUUUUCUGGUUGAUACUAAGAAUGCAUAGCAUCAAAGCUAAACCGGUGUGUGCUAGCUUUUAAAAUAACAGGAGGAUAUAAAAGUACCUUGAGAGGAAGAUUACAGAUAGGCAGAGCUACUGGGUAUGCCUGCUCCUUUUUGCAGGCUGCAGAGCCUUCCCCUGUGUUGUGCAGGGCUCCAUUGCCAGGCUGUGAUCCCACACUGAGCAUGGCCUCUGGGCAUGGUGUCUCGGAGGAAGAUGUGAGCCUUGCUACCAACGUCUGGAUUUCAGCUCUAACUUAGUCAGGGCUAAAAUUUCCCUUGGGAAAAAAAAAUAAUAAAAAAAUAGAAGCUUGAUUGUGACACGUGACACUGAAUCUGGCUUGUGUUGAUCUAAGCAGUUCAAAAAUAAAACAAUUUCAAUUUGUUUUAUAAAGAUGACAGAGAAGGUGAAGAAGUAAAUACAUGAUUUGGCCUCUUCAUGGCUAACAGGCUGGGGCUUUGCUGGAAAGAAGUCAGGUGCAACUGUAAACCCAUGCUGCAGGGAGGUGAGCUGCUGGCAAUCGUGCUGGACCUGCUGAAAGGAGUUCUGAUGCCGUGUGUAAAUAGAUGCAAGAGGGGUUCUAAUGCAAAACGUGGAGCAAAGAGCUCCCAUGGGGGCAGCGGUCUGUGUUGCAGCAUGUAUGACUUUUGUUGGAUGUGGACUUGAUCUGAGGAAGAAAGACUUGUUUUGUUUUGUUUUGUUUUGCUUUCAGCAGAAAACCUGAAGGCUUCCAGGCAGUUCCUCCACACCAUGUUGUAUCAGUGCAAGUGUCCUCCAAUUGAGUUUGCUGAGAGCUGAGCUUAUGCCAGUGCUGAGCUGUAAAGCUGCAAUCUCAGGUGCAACUCAAGAGGAGUAGCAGCAAACUUCUUGUGCCAGGGGAGAACUGCGGCUCUGAGAGUCAACUCACUGCAUGCUGCUCCCACUUGCCCAGUCUGAGGUCACUGUGCUGUUGCAGGGUGACAUGGAGGAAGGCUGCUUGUAUGGUGCCAGAGUUGCCCACCCAAUCACCUCCUUGCCCCACACCAAGCCUUGCUUUCAUAGCAUCAUCAUAGAAUGGCUUGGGUUGAAAGGGACCUUAAGGUCCACCCAGGGACCUUAAGACCACCCAGUUCCAACCCCCUGCUGUGGGUAGAGGUGCAUGCCACUAGAUCAGGUUGCCCUGUUCCCCAUGCAACCCAAUGCUUUGCUUCACUGGAGAUACUUAUGUAGGGACCUCAUUUGGAUGCGUCUCUGGAGGAUGGGUUCCAUAUGCCCUCGGAGCACAUCUGUGCUUGUCUUAAUGACUUUAUUGAGGUAGUCUAAGGGGCUGUAACUACUCAACUUUCUGGCCAAGCACAGCCCUUUUGCCAGGCUCUUGCAAGUGUCUGGGUUAGCACUGCCUGUCCCAGACACGGUGCGUCUGGAGUUGGGUCAGCACAGCAGGUCUUUGCCCUUCACAUCUGCUGAAGGGCUAGUAAAGCUUCUGAGAACUUUCUGCCUGCACGCCCCAGACUGACAGCAAACAUGGUUAAUUCAUCAUGUGAGCAUUGGGAAAGCAUGCAUACGGGGAACUCCCGCAGCAGGGUGCCCCUAGAGCAUCCUCAGAGGCAGGACUUCAUAGUGUUGGCUCAGCCACCAUCCCACUGGCCCAAAUCUGGGAAAACUGGGGCCUCCCAUCCACUUCAGCAGGCUCUGAAUCAGACCUUCAUGAAGCAACUAGUGAGAGCUGUCUGUAUAGUAGCAUGCAAGUGUUUGUCAACCCCACAAGUCAGCUGUUGUGCUGCAGCUGUGUGCUACAGAGUGAGCAGUAGAGAAAGUGGGAGGUGAGGACAGUGUUUGAUGCUGCAAUGUGGGAGAAGAUGGGAAGUUUUUUAACUGAUAAAACAUAUCUUGUGAGUAUGAAAUGGACUGGUUGUUGUCUGAGCUGUGUGUUUUGCAGCCUCCAUUGCUGGGUGCCAGGUAGGUUCCCAUUAUGUUGUUGGUUGCCUCAGCAAUGUGCAGGAUGACUCUCCAUGUCUGCCUGGCACUUGAUUUCAUGGCAUCCUGGUGUUUGAAAGCUGUCUCAUCUGCUCUGAACCUUGGGAGAGGGAGCAAUAAGUGCUUGAAGGGGAGGAGAUCUCAUUUGGGGCAUCAGCCUUCCCCCUUUGACAUGCUGCAUCUUGCCUUUACCUGUCUGCUCAACAUCGAUCCCAAAUGCUGAUCCAGAGGCACAACAAAGGCAGGAGGAGCAAAAGAGAGCCCCAGACCCCAUCUUUAGGGAGGGACAGUGGAUUUGAUGCUACCCCUAUGGGGGUUGAUGGCAAAGGAAGGUGGAGGGAAGCUGGGUGCAAGACACCAAGGAGGACCUUGAGGUUACCCACUGGGGAUACACACUGUCUUCCUUCUUCCCUCAGUGCACUUGUCCUGGAGCUCUCGGUGCUGCAGUGUACUUACACUGGGAAGUGGGUAGCCUUUGCCAGCACCUGGCUUUUCCAUGGCCGUCCCCAUUUUUCCUCUUUGCUCUUUCCAGGUCCAGGGACUGUCAGUGCGGGAAGCAUUGCCCAUCACCUCCCUUCAUUUUUUCCUCCCUCUCUUGGUGCUGAGUUGCUCUGAUAGACUUUGGCUCAUGUCCCAGAAACAGCCUCUGAACACACACAGACCGGCAAGGCUAAAAUAGCACUUUAAAAUUGUUAAAUAAAUAGCAAUCGGUCUCUGUUAAAUGGGAAACAUAGCUUAAUUUGUCAUAUUUUUUUGUCCUCCUUUGGACAGGGAACUGGGGCGUGUGUGCUUGUCUGUAGAGUGGUUCUUGUUGUAAUCCAUCUGCUGUAACCCCAAGUGGGCAGAGAAGGGUUAUGCGACUCCGAGUUACCAAACACUUACAGUAAAAGUGUAGUCAUCCUGAACCUCAUCCAAAGAGCCUUAGGUUUUGUGUUGGCUUUUUUUUUAUACUUUUUUUUUUUUUUUUCCUCUCUCCUGCCAGGAUGCUGCUGCGUCACUUGCAUUCUUCACCCCUCCUGCCUUGUUGGGAAGGAGCAACCCUCCGAAGCCGGUGGUAACUCUUUCCAGGCUUCUCACAGCAGUGCUUGGGGCCCUUCUGUGCUGCCUUGCUCCAUCCCAAAGCACUUUGGGACCACAGGGUCACCACGUAGGGUUUGCUCUGUAGCAGUGCUGGUUUUCCCUGUGCCAGACUGCCUCCCAAAAAGCUCUUGUCUCUCCCUGACACGUUCUCAGAUCUCGAGUAAAAAUAGUGUAACGAUUAUUGUAGUGUGGGAGAGCAGGGAACGCUGCAGGAAGCAUUUGGAAAAUGUCUGUUGCAAAUGGCUGCCAGCUAAGAUUGAGCAGGAGCAGGGAUUGACUUAGAUACUUAAAGCUGUGUGUCAGUGUGAGAAAGUGCAUGUCUCAUCCUUUCUGGGUCUUUCCUAGCGAGCACGUCCCUCUGGGGCUUGGCUGCAGGUCCCAGGGAUGCAGUGCGGGGCUGGAUGACUGCAUGGGAUAUACCUGCCCUCAGUACAUCCCAACCUGGGGUAGAACUACACAGAUGGCCUGAGCAGGAAUAACCCAACUUCAGAAGGGCAGGAAGUGAAUGUCUGAUUACAACCUGCAAGCCGGUGCUUCUGUAUGGCAGCGAUAGCCUGAGCACGGUUAUCUUGAGCAUAAUUGUUGCUGCAGUGAUGGAAACAGCUGAUUCUAGAUAAAAAGAGGAAGAUUUGGUAGAAGACAUCAUAAUAUCUUUUAGAUGCUUUAAAUUUUGUCUUUUUCCCUCAUGGUGCAGAGGUUGCUCCACCUUGAAUGGGUAUUUUACAUGAGCCUUCCUCUCAAAUUAAGUAGGAUCAUGUUUCUUCAGCAUUUAGUGUGAAUCUUGAUGCCUGGUGGUGUAUUUCAGCCUUCCAAAGAGACAUGUAAGAAUAAAGCAAGAUGAUUCACUGCAUACUAAAAUGUUCUACAUGUAAAAUAAUAAUAAUUAUAAAUAAAUAGAAAAGUUUCUGUUUCAGCUUUGCAAUAAAACUAUAAAACUCACCAGCCAGUAAACAGUGGAUCUCCUGUUCCCAUGGAGAAGGGCUGCUGCAGACCUAAAAGCUUGCUGUGGGAAAGAAAAAAAAUAUAAAUCAAAAAGAUCCACUCUUGGUCUUGCAAACAAAGGUUGCCUUGGAUUGUGGUCACAUGUUGCCGUUCAGCUGAUCGAGCUCAUGCCAAAAGGGGAAAGCUUUCUAGUACUUGCUUGAACCCCACUGAACUGGUUUAGGGAAUUAAUUAGAGGAAAAAAAAACCUUCACCUUUGUUUUCUCCCUUGCCGUUUUUCUCCUAGACCCGAUGGCCCUGCAUGAACUCACCACCCCAGCCACCCCUUCCAUGACUUGUGGCCACCAAGUGAACUUGACUGUGAUUUAAAUUGCACCCUCAGCAAAGGGGAUUUGGCUUCUCCCUGCUGAGGAAGAAGGAGCCUGCCAAAUACCCAAAUCUGAGCUUUGUAAAUCAUACCCAGCAAUUCUCGGUGGCCAAGUUGCUUCAAGGAUAUAAGGAGGAGUAACACCUGUGAGACCUUCUAGGGAUGAACUCCAACCCCUGGGAAUAUCAAAGGUGUUGAUAAGCUGGUGUUGCUGGCAGCCCUUCUGGCCUGACCUAAUACUCUGUGUGCAUAUGUUCUGUAAAUAAAGACUAGGUCAGACUCCUUCCCUUGAAAACAUCCUCUGUCCGUGCCUGUGGAGGUGGUCAGGAGACCUUCCUAAGGAUGGAGACUGAAGGUUGUGUGAAAUUAUCCAAAAUCUUUGGCUUCACUGAGUUGGUGUUAAGGUACAUACAUGUUUCAUGCAUCACACAUAGUUUUGAGGACAAACUCAGUGCAGCAGGCUUAGCUGUCAUCCCAGGCAGUUCUCUCACGGCUCAGGACUUGCAUCUGAUCUUUACAAAGCUCAUCAGAUAGCUGGUACCAGAAAGCGCUUUUCUUUGAGGUGUAGUGUAUCAGCAGAGCUGGGUAUUGGAUUGCUUUGCAGGAUUUUGUUGCCUUGUCAUAUCACGGGGCUUUUUUUGGUGAAGGUUAUGAAUUCCAUCACACACUGACCCUGUUGUCCUCUGUAGCAGAUGAGCCUUGGGUUCCUGGCUGGCACUUUCACCUAAGGGUGAAAGUAGUAGGAUGAGGUAGUGCACCCAGACCUGUUAGUUUGGAAUAGGAUGGUGGUUAUAUCCCUCUUUUUUUUUUUUUAACCCUGGGUAAGUAUGUGUUAGGGUGUGCUGAAGGAAGAAGGAAGGAUGAAAACCACUGUAAGUUGGAAUUGCCCAGCGAAGAGCCUGAAUCAGCUGUAGAGGAUACUGAAAAUCUUGGUUAGAGACCAGUUUUUUAUUGUUUCAAUAUUACUAUAUCAUGCAGUGAAAAAGCAUAUCUGUUUCUUGGAUGAGGUGGAAUUAAACGCUUGCCUCUUCCCAAGUUUAUUGUGCUUCCCUGUGGCACCACACACUUUGUUUGUAGCAUCCCGCAUGGGAGAUGAAAGGGUUUGGUGUAUACUGCCUUUGGGGCAGUGUGGAUUUCUCCUCAAAAACACAGAUUCUAGUUUUAAAUGCCUAAAAAAUGAGAUCUGUGCCUUAUCUCUUGGGAGAUCGUUGAUGGAUCCAUUUCUCAAAAAGAUAUUUUAUUCAUUCAAACUAUUCAGUUCUUUAAUUCAGUGCCACUCCCUUCAUUCGGAUGCCUGGAGUCUUUUAUCAUGUCUCCUCUUACUCAUUGCUUAGCCAAGUUAGACAUACUUAGUUCUUUUAAUCUUUCCUAGUAACUGAGUGUCUUUAAUCAUCCUGCUUGAUGUCAGAGUGUUUGAUGCCCACUUUUACUGAAAGUAAGCCUGGAUUUUCUGUGUGUGCAAAUCACUUGGGAAGUGAUCCAGGAGAGCAGGAGUAGCUGAGCAGCUGCAGCUGGUUGCACAGGCUCACUCCUGGAUUCCUCAAAAGCUCCCUCAAAUAUCCCAGUGUGGGUGCUGGGGAAGAUUCUUGGCUCACCUCGUAUGCCAGCAGACUUGGCACGCUUGGGGAUUAAUUAAUGUUUUUGUUGGAUGUGGGCAGCAGCUCCCCUGAAGACGUCUCAUGGCUUGGCUUUCCAGAGGCACAUUUCUCUGGACUUCCAUGGAACUAAUUGAAGAUGCAGGUGUUGAUUAUGUUUGCAGAAAACAGGCCCAGAAAGGUUACCGAAACCUGCAUUUCCUUCUCUUACCCAUCAGCAACAAGGGCAAGAUAGAAGCUUAAUUUCCUUCUACAAAAUUCAUAGCAAAGCCGAGGGAUGAGCUGUUUUUCGGGAGCAAUGAUUUUGCUACGUGCUGUUAGUGCAGCUCGUCUACUCUUGCUGCAGGUAUUUAUGUUGAUUUUCCAGAUGAGUUCAUAUAUUUGCACCUGAAAAUAAUCAUUCAUAAAUUCUUAAACUACUGUGAAUGUAGGGAUUGUUGCUGUCUGUUGCUGAGCUAUGCAAUGUAUCACCUCAGCACAGUGUCAUCAGACUUGGCUUUCUGGAGUUAAGCAUCUGCUUUCCUUCUUUGAGAUAUAAGUCCACAGUUUGCCCCGUCUUAUUUCCGUGGGAGCAGUGGGUAUUUCUCUGUUUCAGAAAGCCUGGCCUGAUCCAAGCCCAGUGUUGACUCACAUGGGUUAAUGCAGCGCAUCUCCGGGUUUGCUGGCAUCAGCACUGAGGCAGCUCGGGGUGGCACCUCUGAGUGAAGGAGGAGCAUGGACUUUGAAUCACAGAGUGCUUGGCAGCAAAUUAAAGAAGCUCAAAGACUGCCUGUCCCUCCCCUUCAUCCUAUUCUGCAAGAAUGCUUCUCAUACUUCCCAAACAUAGCAGUGCAAAUGUCACUCGGUUAAGUACGCUGCCUGAUGAUGCUAUUCUGAUGUAAAGAAAGGUCCCAUUCCCCCACUGUGGUUCAAACUUGGUCUACCAAAGGGGCUGUGUGAUAUACAGCUACCCUUACAGGGGGUCCUGUGGCCUGGGAGGAGGAAGAAGAGCAAGCCCUGGUUUGGGGAGAAAGCAGAGCUUCAGCACAGAGCAGCACCUGGUGCCCUCUGGGUGUCCCUUGUCACCCUUCAGUGACCAGAGUGUAGUGUGGGCUGUCCCUAAGGCUUGGAGAUGGACAGUAGGAAAAGUGUGUGCCCUCUUGGUGAUGCUCGUGCCCUCUUGGCGAACAUCCCAGGAGCACCACAUGGAAGAGCCAGUAGGCUCGUUUUGGUGCUCCACUGCUGAUUCACUACAAGUGUUUGCCAUGAGAUGGGCACAGCAGUGUAGAACACCAUCCCCACCCCAGGGGCACAUCACACCCUGCGUGCAAUUACAUUCAUGUCGCUGGAGGAUUUUCACUCCCUACCUUUUUGAUUGCAACCUUGGGGACUGGAGUGAUCGCUUUUAUAUAAAAUUGGUUUACUUUACAGCAGUAUUUUGAAGAAGAAAGGAAAAGAAGCUUUUUGGUUGGAGGGAAGGGACAGAGUUUGGCUUGCUGACAUUUCUUUUGUUGCAAUGUUGUAUAGGUCUCGCUUGACUGCAAAAAGGAGAAAGGAGGAGUGUGUGCAGGGAGUUCAGGUCCUGCUGUGGCUUCUUGGGAAGUGAGGAGGAAUAAAGAAGGUAGGAUAACCAAGGUCAGCACCUCACUUCAAGCUAUCAGUUGGACUGCUUGCGGGUGAGAGAUAUUAAGUUACCAUGUGUGUGUAAUUUAUCCUUUGUGCUGGUGACCAAGUAAUCCAGUAAAAUGGCAGCAAAAAGGAUAGGGAAGUUAUGAAAAUUUGUGCUGUAAACUGAACUGGCAGGAUUACACUCAGAGCUGUGUUUGGUUAUCAGGUGUCACAUUGUCUUUAGAAAGCACCUGAGAGGGAUUUUACUCAAAGUUUUGCAAUAGAAGUCUCAGUGCCCGUAAGUGGGGCAGAGCGCGUCUUUUCAAACAGGGGCUGUGUUGUUCCCUAUCUGGGUGCUCUUCACAAGUUUUGGGCAUGCCGGUUCUGAUUAUGGCUUGCAUUUAUUAUUGCUUAAUGUAAUUAAUGCCAUUGUUUGAAAUUGAUUAAUUAUUAUUUAAUAUCAUAGUAUCUGUCAUUACAGCUUACUUCUACCUUGUAUUUAUUAUCCUCAUCUUUAUAGUAGUGUUGCUAAAUGCUUCCUAGACCUGGGAUGCAUGUGUGCCUCCUUUGAUAUCCUUAGGCACAUUAUCCAAUUGCAGAUUACAGGUGCUGACAACUGUCUGACCCAUUUUCUUUUGUUUGCAGCCUCAUUUUGCACCUUAACUUGGUUUUUGUGAAGUAAUUGAGCUAAAUACAGUAUUAUUUUAGUCUAAUUUAUACACAUUUGACAUUAUUAACGUUCUUGCUUUAUCUGGGUUAAUUCUCAAGGAUGGCAUCCUGGCAUUCUCUGCCAACAGUACUUUCUGUGUACUUAAUAUAGAAUUAGCCUUAAAGGAAUGGGUUUUGAAAACUUAUUUCCAAUCUUCUGCUUAUUUUUGCCGUGUCUGGUCUGCUGACUUUAAGAAAAUUGCACUUCAGAAGAAGGCUGCCUUGACAACACUCUGUACACUAUAUGAUGCCAAGGAAAUAAUUUGCUGCAGAACCCCUAAUACACACAGUCCUUGUUUUCUUUCUUUCUUUCUUUCUUUUGUUUUUUCCUAGGAUAUCUGCUAUGGACCUUCUGGCUGAUUUUUCUCUUGUAAGAUCCAGAGCGAUCAUUGCCUGUCGUGUACUCAAACUUGCUUUAUACAGAAGACAGCAGAAAGCCACAAAAUUGGAGCCUCAGUAAUUUCUUUACACCCACCAUUUGCCAGUGUUCUGGAUUGGAAACCAACUGCAGCAGCUACUGAGAGUCUCAUUCCUCCUCCACGUGAACCUCCUUCCAGGGAACUGUGAAAAUUCCCACUUCCAUCUCCUUCGCGUACUGGGGUUUCAUGACCAUUAAAACCCGUUCCUGGAACCAUGGGAUGGCCCCACAGCAUGCUUUUGAUCCAGCUCAGAUGUGGGCUUCUCCGUGGGAUGAGUGCCCAGCAAGUCCAGCCAUCAAAACCUACCUAGACCCUAUGGAGCUGCAUGCUCUGACUCAUCCCUACUGAAAUGUCCCCACACCCUGCCCCAGGGCUGUGCAUUCCUGGGCACUGGUUGCCUGUGCCUCAUGAGGUCUUUCUACCAAACUCAUCACUUUGGCUUGGUUCUGCAUCACCACACUGAAACUGUGCAAACUGCAAGCCACCAAACUGUACCUUUGAGCCACCUCACGGGGCACAUGUCCCACAGUGGCUUGGCUGCUGGACCACUCAGGGUGGGAUGCGCAACACACUGCAAGGAAUUUAGUUCAGCACUGGUGCUGGUAGAGCACGGAGCUGGGAGAGCAGCAUCCCUAAUUCAGGUUGAUGCGUGGCUGUGUUGGAGCCCUUUCUGUAAACCACUUCAAAGGGCGUUUUGCUGUUUUGUCUCUUCAUUCACUGUUCUUUCCCACUUGUGCAUUUUGUGCAAUUUUAAAAACUUCUUGCAUGUAUUCCAUUCCUCUUAUCCUAGACCAAGUGGCUAUCUUCUCUUCUUUCUUAGCUGGCUUGUUCAUGCAGAGGCAAGGAGUAGCAAAACAUGUUUUUCCUUCUGAAAAGAGAGAAAAUAAAUGUUUGAUACCUGAUAAUAGUUUUUGUUGUUUGUCUGAGGCAGCUUGAAAUCCUUAGGGAAAAUCAGAAUUGUUCCAUUAGGAUGAGCUGCUUGCAAGCAUCCUGCCAAACUGGAACAGCCCUUCAAGCUGUACUGAAAUGAAUUCAAACCCUCCACAGAUAAGCACAACAUAGGGUAUAAUUUUACUUCAACAGAAGGAAAAAGUCCAGUACAUCAUCUCCUUUUAUUUCAGUGUCUGGUUGUCUUGACACCCAUGUACAUAUAGAAAUAUGCUUUCUUCACAUGUAUUUACUGAGGCACUCAAGCUAAAUGCAAUUGAGCCUGGUGGUUGCUGGGAUGGUUCAUCGUGCACGUCCAGGUGCCAUCUGUACACAGGGAAGCUGGCAAUGCAGUAAAUGGCUGUUUUCCCUUCUUUAAGAGAUGCAUGUUGGGGUUGACUUUUGAUGAUCACUUAGGAUCUUAAGCUUUUGUGCUUUUGCAUUUACCUUUGUGUUGGCUAAAUUUCAGUUCACUUACUUCCCUGUGAACAAUUCUUUUUUUGUUGAAUAAACUAUUCCUUGCAAACCAUAACACUGAUGUCAUUGUUGUUGUGGGGGUUUUGUUUGGGUUGGGUUUUAAGCAGCUGUUGCCACCCAAUGGUGGAUUUCCCUUCAUUAUAUAUCUUCCAAAUACACCCUUUAACUGGUUUUCCACCAUUCUCACCUUGUGGAUUCCUAAAUAUUUUUAUUUAGUUUUGUGGAAAUGUGAGUUCCUCUUGAGGAAAUGGAAGCCUCCUGACAAUAAGCUUGCCUUUCUUAGUUGUUUUCCAUGAACUUGUAUGGUAUGCUAUACAGAUCUCUGUCAAGUUUCCAAAGCAAUUAGCUUGAAAGCCACCAUUCAGAUGGGGCAGAGUUGUAUACUUAAAUCUGUUCUUUCUAGUAGUUAUUGGUUAUGCCUGCUAGGAAAUUUCUGGAUCCUACUGGGUCCACAGUGGGUUUUUAACCCUCCCAUUCUCAUGGAACUGUUGUGGAAGGCAGAAUCAAAGUCUGCUUGGCAUUUGCCCAGAGCACGCACCUCAAACAUACAAGCUUGGGCAGAGUAUUGUGUUCAUGUGGCUCCAUGGCUUUUGUCUUAAGCUGAAUUGAGUCCAGUUGACCUUAGCACAAGUGGAGCAAGCCAAGGUCUGCCCAAACAUGUCUAGGUAGAUGUGUCCCACUAGAAUUCCGUGAAAUUCCUGCUCCAUCUGCUCGUCUCAGUCCUAGAUCUUGCCUUUGGCUGCCCCUAGCACUGGACAUAUAGAACAUGCAUAGCUAUAAUCAAAGUGAUGCUGAAAAUGCCUGCAAUUUAAAAGUACUGUGUUAAUAAAACAGAAGGAGUUGUUGAUAUUCAACUAAGCAGAAUCCUGUUGCUUCUCAGAGAAAAGUGUUUUCAUCUUUGGAGCAACUCUGGCCAAAAGCUCUGGUAGUGACUUAAAGGGCAGGUGAUUACAACAUGAAAAACACAGUCUAGCCCAAGAAACACUUUUGUGUGUGUAUUUGCAAAAUUUUUUGUUUUGAGCCAUGGAAAAUGCUUCUGUCUGAGGCUCUAGUUGGGGCCUGGGGGAAAGCAAAGCAACUCCCCCUGCAUGGGGCAGGUUGGCAGUGAUGGGGCUGAGUCCCAGCAAGGAGCACUGAAAGCGGUAAGAAAGCUCUCACUUUAUUUCUAAGGUCUAGUGCGUUGUCUGUGGCUUGUGCCUGGCUUCUCUUGUUUCUGUGCAGACUCAAACCAAGUUCAAAUAAUGAUGAAAAACAAAACAAACAAAAAAGUGAUGCAACGCACGUCUCAUAUGACUAUUGGAUUUUCACUAGGCAUUGAGCUGGUGGCACCUGCAGUGAUGUGGGGCAGGAUCAUCCCCCUUAGCAUUGCAGAUGGACUGGCCAUGGAAGUCCUUUCUGAACAGACAUAGCCAAGGGAAAGUUGUAUCCACAAGGAAUGUGGUUUUUUUUUUUUUUUUUGUUUUUUUGGUUUUUUUUUGUUUUUUGGGUUUUUUUUUGAAGAUGCCUGUACAUCUGCUGAGUAGCAUACAUAGAGCCUUGCAAAGCUACUUUGCUGAAUUGCCAAUGUCAGAGCUGCCUGAUGUGUGUUCCUGGCCAUAGGAUGCCUUCUGUGCUACCAAGAGUGAUGUAGAGAUGCUCAUAGUAACAGGUAGGAAUCUUCUGUGAUUUAACUGAGAACAAGUGAGACAUUUUAUAUACCCAGAUGCAACAACAGUGCACCUGACUGAAGUACAGACAGACUCUUAUUGCACUGUGAAAUGCCAGCAGGUAGCUUGUGGUCUCCUGGCAACAUUUUGUGAGUGGGCUUUUGGGCCAUUUUCUGUGCUGUAAAUGUAGGAUUCAUACAUAGUACGAAGGGAUAUCAGACCUUGAUGGGUGUUAAACAUGCUAUUCACGCCACUGUGACAAGAGGAGCAUUAACUGUGCUCCAACAUUCACCUUGUACAAAUGGUGAAUCAAAGACUGUCCAUCCCCCAAGGAGGUCAUGGUCUGGAACACUGACAGAAGGAUGUGGUUGGAUACAUGCAGAUGGGGGAGUAAAAUGAAAAUGCCAGGAUGCUAUUGAUCAUCUUGUCAGAUGCAUCUCAGGACACCAGGACACUUACUGUGAGGUUUCUUGUAAAUGUCAUGGCAAAAAAGAGUUUUGAUGAAGUCAGUGAGAUUGUUUGGCAGAUAUCAGGGGAAUUCCUACCAGGCAAGAAAGGGAGCAGGAAAGGAGAAAGUAUUUCCUGUCAACAUGUUUUAUAUUGAUUAGCCCAGGAGACCUGCUUGCAAAGAAGUAGAUUUUGUAAGAGUGAGCAGCAGGUAACAGUGUAGGGUCUGAGUUAGGCCUUGAGAGUUAGGGAGCUCUUGUGUGAUGAGGUAGGGAAAGAGGGGAUCUUUGAAAAGGUGAAGUGGGAUAGAGAAAAUAGAUGUUACAUUUCUGAAGGAAGGGUUGUUGGGUUGACUGGGAUAUGGGAAAAUAAAAGCUUGGAUGGCAGCAGUGGAUUUGGAUGCUGGAUGAAAGGGCAUCCAAAAGAUGUCCCAAGACAUUAUUUUGAACUGAAGUAGAGAGGGAUGUUUGUGGGUCAUGUGUGAGGAGAAGAUCUGGGUGUGUGUUUUGAUGGAGGUGAAGGGAAGGUAGGGAAGAAUGGGACCAUGGUCAAAACCCACAGAAGGGAGACCUGAAGUUGGGCUGGGGAAUUAUGAAGAGAUAGGAAAGGAGCAAGGCAGGAUUCUUGGGAAUUCUGACCUUUGGUUAAAAACCCGCUGCAUUUUUCAGCAAAACCAUGAACAAACAAGUACUGUUAGUGCAUCCAGACCCAGACUGGAUCCUCUGUAGCUCAACCUAUAAAGAUAGUGAAAAGGUUUGAGUGUAACAUGAUCAGCAUCGGCUUAGUGUGUGUGUGUGUGUGUGUCAUGGACCUGUGCUGCACAGCGAGGUGCCUCUGCAUGCUCCCAUUCCAUCGCUGCACACUUGUGAUGGGAUCCUAUUCCCAUAAAAUAGUCAUGUGCUGACGUCUCCUCCUGGUUACACGAGCUGGCUCUGGAAAACCUCAGCUCCUAGAUUACAAACAUAGCAGGGCUCUGUCUGCAAAGGUGUAAGGUUACAAAACACACACACACUCACGCAGCUUAACCGAAACCGCCUCAUUUUUAGCAGUUGUGAGGGUUUAUUCACUGCAGGGCUGUGGAGGAAUGCAGGAAUGUGAGUGGCGUUAAACCUAUUCAUUUGGAGGGGGAGUCCUCUCCUCUCCCCUGCUCCAGCCUGCUUAGCUUUAAUGGUAAUUGCACCUCUUGGCUGGCUGAGCUGGCCGUCUGCCCUCCCGGUGCAGCUGGGGAGAAGAACUGGAGCCAGGAGGAGCAAAGUAGCUGUCAGUGUGGGGUGGCUGUGUCAGUGUGGGGCUGUCCCUUGUCCUGUGAGCCCACAGCCUCCCUGCUUUAACCUAGUGCUUGGAUGGUGAGAAGGAGGCAUGCUUUUUAGCUGUGGAGUUUGGGCAGGGAGGAGUACAGUCAUAGCCUAGCUCCUAUGUAUCGUGCUGGGGAAUGCAUUUCCCUUUCAUUUUUCUAUAUUUUGUGCUUAAUGUUAAUCGUUCCCAGACGCACCUAACAGUACCUUGGCAUUUAAAAAUCAAAUACUGAUCCUAAAAGCCUUGCCACUUCAGAAAAGAAAGGAAGACAAACAAACAAACAGAAAAAACAAGAGUUUUUUGUUGGCUUGUUAAGAAUGUGAGAGAUGCAGUAAAAUCGGCUUUUUGGUUUAUAAGUGCUGCCCAUUCCCAGGGGAGGAAUGCGGACCUCUGCAUGGCCAACUGCCACCGUCACCACUUCCAGCCUUGCUGCUGAGGUUUCAUGUGAAGCCAAAGGGCCUGGGAAGUUUGGGAAACCAGUGACACCGGAUCCGUACCACAAAGGUGAAUGCUGCAUGCUCGCUGCGUGUGUGUGCAGAGACACGGUGGCUCCGGCUUUUGCCUCCAGGAGAGAGCUGCCCACGGACAGUCAUGCUGACAGUGUAACAGAAGCAGCUGCGUGUGAGCCCCAGAGAUGUGUGGAGGUUUUUAUUUAAGUCCUGUCCUUAAAGGAUGCUGCCUUGAAGGGUCUUUAGUGAGGAUGGAUGCAGCCUAACCCAGUCAGUCUGUCCUGCCACUAUCUGGGAAUACCAGCACUUCCAGUGAUGCAUGCUGCUGGGAGACUGUUGUGCCUGAAGGGUUAAAUUAGUGGUGCUUUCAAAGCUGGGAUGCAUUCAGAGUAUUGCAAUUGCACUUACUGAUACCGGGAAAUCUUAGUUCAACCCUCUUUCCCAGCAGGUCUGCGUGAUGGUGAAGUGGUUGUUGCAUACCUGCACUGGGAUGGAGCUGAGAUGCUCAGGCGUAGUGCUUCUGCACCCAGUGUCGGGACAUUAUUGCCUUGUUCCUGUGCUUCAUCCAGAUAGAGCUGAAGCAGAAGUAGCCCUCCAUGCUCCAUUGUCAGACACAUUCAUUUUUGGUCAUGGGCAUCACUGAUGGAUAGCUCCUGUCCUGUCCUGUGGUAACGUUGGCAGACUUCUCAGGAGGUGUGAACUUUGGACACAUCAUCCUUAGCUGUUAAAGUAGUAAUCCUUUAGUUGUUCAUUUGCAAGAUAGUUUAGGAGGUUAAGAGAAGGACAACUGAAUUAAUGUGAGGAAUAUGAGGGGAUGGGGUGGGCAGCCUGGGGUCAAUAGAGCAAGUGGAUUAAUUAAAGAAGAGUAAACAGGAGCCUCAUGUGUCUGUGGCAAAAUGAGAAACACUGUUCUCUCCACUUGACACAUUUAGUGCCCUGGAUUGCCAAGCAGCAGUUCUUCACAGCAUGUAGGAGAAUAGAAAUACAUCGCUUCAUCUCACAACUUUGAACUAAAAUAAAGAUUUAGGUAAGACGCUAGGACAAUUUUUUUCACUGAGAGGGCAGUGAGGCACUGGCACAGUCUGCCCAGAGCAGCUCUGAUUGCCCCAUCUCUGGAGGUGUUCAAAGCCAGGUUGAAAGGGACCCUGAUACAUUUGGUGGGUGGCAACCCUGCCCAUGGCAGGGGGUUGGGACUGGGUGGGCUUUGAGGUCUCUUCCAACCCAGAUCUUCCUAUGGUUCUGUGAUCUUGGUCGUCCUCCAGUUGGAGUUCUGCUCAUUGUGGGCAUUUCUGUUGUCCAUGUCCAGGCCAUCUGCUGCCUUGGGCUGGACAGAGAUGGGGGAGUCUUUGGGAAUUUGGGGAACACUGCAGCCAUAUGAAGGCAGGAUUGAUGUGGUGCACAUGAGUGCCAUGUCCAGGUUGUUGGUCUUCUGGCAUGGCUGUGUUAUUUGUUAUUAACAAAAGUUACAUCUGUGGAGACUACAGGAAGACCCCAGUGAGUUUCUUGCGGUUGAAUCUAAAUCUUCCCCUUCUGCUUCCAGACUUUCUGUGUCAGUGCAGCUCUUCCACCUGUCUUCUUUCCCUCGCCCUCACAAUUCCCAUCAUGACAGUUUGAAAUCGGAGCCAGCUCCUACCUGUGCUUCUGCCCCAACCCUCCUGUUCUUUACUGGCUACAGACGGAGCUCCUUCAGCCCCUGCAUUUCAGGAAAGAUGAACAGCUGGAGUUGAUUGCUGGGUCACUCCCAGACCCAAAGUGGUUGUCGGGGGAGGUAUUUUCCAUGUUGCAAU